GAUGAAGAACGUAGUGAAAUGCGAUAAUUAAUGUGAAUUGCAGAAUUCAGUGAAUCAUCGAGUCUUUGAACGCACAUUGCGCCCCCUGGUAUUCCGGGGGGCAUGCCUGUCCGAGCGUCAUUGCUGCCCUCAAGCACGGCUUGUGUGUUGGGCUUCCGUCCCUGGCAACGGGGACGGGCCCAAAAGGCAGUGGCGGCACCAUGUCUGGUCCUCGAGCGUAUGGGGCUUUGUCACCCGCUCCCGUAGGUCCAGCUGGCAGCUAGCCUCGCAACCAAUCUUUUUAACCAGGUUGACCUCGGAUCAGGUAGGGAUACCCGCUGAACUUAAGCAUAUCUAAGCGGAGGA
rnacentral:misc_RNA from 1 species